rnacentral:rRNA from 1 species
UACGAGGGGGGCGAGCGUUGUUCGGAAUUAUUGGGCGUAAAGGGUGCGUAGGCGGUUCCGCAAGUCCUGUGUGAAAUCUUCGGGCUCAACUCGAAGUCUGCACGGGAAACUGCGGGGCUUGAGUGUGGGAGAGGUGAGUGGAAUUCCCGGUGUAGCGGUGAAAUGCGUAGAUAUCGGGGGGAACACCUGUGGCGAAAGCGGCUCACUGGACCAUAACUGACGCUGAUGCACGAAAGCUGGGGGAGCAAACAGG